CAGUCGCCGCGGUAAUACGUAGGUCCCGAGCGUUGUCCGGAUUUAUUGGGCGUAAAGCGAGCGCAGGCGGUUAGAUAAGUCUGAGGUUAAAGGCUGUGGCUUAACCAUAGUACGCUUUGGAAACUGUUUAACUUGAGUGCAGAAGGGGAGAGUGGAAUUCCAUGUGUAGCGGUGAAAUGCGUAGAUAUAUGGAGGAACACCGGUGGCGAAAGCGGCUCUCUGGUCUGUAACUGACGCUGAGGCUCGAAAGCGUGGGGAGCAAACAGGAUUAGAUACCCCCGUAGUCCCUGUCUCUUAUACA
rnacentral:rRNA from 1 species